rnacentral:lncRNA from 1 species
CAGCGUGGUUCUAAAUAUCUGCACAUUGUGUCAAUGAUACACAUCCAGUUCACAUUUCUGUUGUAUUUUGUUGUAUUACAAAGAGGAAACAACUUUAGCUGUCAACAAUAUGAGUAAAGAUGACCUCCCUCCUCUUCCCUUCAAAUGUACACAUAUCACCGGCACACCCCGGCACCCAAAAUAAAGGACCAUCUGACUCCGAGGGCAACAAUGCCACCCAUUCUCUGCCCAAAUAAUGCCAUGUCUGUGCGUGAUCCCCCGAUGUGACACCCAGCUGCCUGCAGGUAGCCAAGGACAAUAGGAUGAUGUCUGCCUGCGUUUGCCAAGCAUGUGACGCCCCCGGGUCGUAUAAUAGGCAUCCCUGAUGAAAACACAACUCAAAGUGCGGACAGACACCAAGCACUUUUGUGAGACAUAGUGACCCACUUCAAGCCUCGGCAACAUGAGAGUUGGAGUGCCCGUUUUUGUGUUCUUAGCCGUCGCAGGCUUACAAUAUGCCACAGCUGCAUCACUGGCAUCUGAGGAGAUGGAGGAUUCGUCUGAAGAGGAAGUGGACAAACUGACUUUGCUGCUGAAAAGAGAUCAGAUGGAGUUUGAGGCAGCCCAGGUGGAGAAUGCUGAAGAGACUCAGGCUGCCCAUGAUCAUUUUGAAGCGGCCAAAGUGGAGGAGGCUGAGGAGAUCCAAGCCGCAGGAGACGAGGAAGAGAGUGAGGAGGAUGAGACUGAGGAAGUCACUCACUACAUGGAGGCAAGUCAGGAUGAGGACUCACAUGAGGUAGUCCAAGAGGAGGACACAGAUGAUGCGAAAAAAGAUGCCCAAGAGGUCAUCAGUGAUGAGAAUGCAAGCAAUGACAGUGAAGAUGAUUCACAUUCUGAAGAGAAAUCAGAGGCCGCCUUAACCGCCACGGACACCAGACAAACACAAGAUGUAUCCACUGAGGGCUUGGCUGAGGAGGAAGCACUGGAGGAGUGAACCACUGGAUGAGGGACAGGGAGAGGGGACGAGGUCCAAGCCAUUCAGAGGAGAAAUGAUACUGCAGAGCUGAUUCUGUUCAAUAAAUAAGAAUCAUUACUCCCUAUAAGACA